UACGAAGGGGGCUAGCGUUGUUCGGAAUCACUGGGCGUAAAGCGCACGUAGGCGGCCAUGUAAGUCGGAUGUGAAAGCCCCGGGCUUAACCCGGGAAGUGCAUUCGAUACUGCGUGGCUUGAGUAUCGGAGAGGUUGGUGGAAUUCUCGGUGUAGAGGUGAAAUUCGUAGAUAUCGAGAGGAACACCGGUGGCGAAGGCGGCCAACUGGACGAAUACUGACGCUGAGACACGAAAGCGUGGGGAGCAAACAGG
rnacentral:rRNA from 1 species